rnacentral:rRNA from 1 species
GACGAACGCUGGCGGCGUGCUUAACACAUGCAAGUCGAACGGAAAGGCUCCAGCUUGCUGGAGUACUCGAGUGGCGAACGGGUGAGUAACACGUGGGUAAUCUGCCCUGCACUCUGGGAUAAGCCUGGGAAACUGGGUCUAAUACUGGAUAUGACCUUUCUCCUUAUGGGGUUUGGUGGAAAGUUUUUCGGUGUAGGAUGAGCCCGCGGCCUAUCAGCUUGUUGGUGGGGUGAUGGCCUACCAAGGCGACGACGGGUAGCCGGCCUGAGAGGGUGAUCGGCCACAUUGGGACUGAGAUACGGCCCAGACUCCUACGGGAGGCAGCAGUGAGGAAUAGUGCACAAUGGGCGGAAGCCUGAUGCAGCGACGCCGCGUGAGGGAUGACGGCCUUCGGGUUGUAAACCUCUUUCAGCAGGGACGAAGCGUAAGUGACGGUACCUGCAGAAGAAGCACCGGCUAACUAUGUG